GAUGAACGCUAGCGACAGGCUUAACACAUGCAAGUCGAGGGACCGGCGCACGGGUGAGUAACACGUAUCCACCCUACCCUUUACUCUGGGAUAGCCUUUCGAAAGACAGAUUACUACCCGAUAUUAAGGAUGGGGAUGCGUUCCUGUUGGUUGUGGGUGAGGUAACGGCUCACCAAGCCUUCGAUGGAUAGGGGUUGGGGGAGGAAGGUCGCCCACAUUGGAUCUGGGACACGGUCCAAACUACUACGGGCGGCAGACGGGAGGAAGAUUGGUCAAUGGGCGCGAGCCUGAACCAGCCAAGUAGCGUGAAGGAUGAAUGCUGAUGUGUCGUAAACUUCUUUUAUAUAAGAAGAUGUAUUAUAUGAAUAAGGAUCGGCUAACUCCGUGCCAGCAGCCGCGGUAAUUC
rnacentral:rRNA from 1 species